UACGUAGGGCGCAAGCGUUAUCCGGAAUUAUUGGGCGUAAAGAGCUCGUAGGCGGUCUGUCGCGUCGAAUGUGAAAAUCCGAGGCUCAACCUCGGACCUGCAUUCGAUACGGGCAGACUAGAGUUCGGUAGGGGAGUCUGGAAUUCCUGGUGUAGCGGUGAAAUGCGCAGAUAUCAGGAGGAACACCGGUGGCGAAGGCGGGACUCUGGGCCGAUACUGACGCUGAGGAGCGAAAGCGUGGGGAGCAAACAGG
rnacentral:rRNA from 1 species